rnacentral:rRNA from 1 species
CCGCCCUGGGGGAGUACGGCCGCAAGGUCAAAACUCAAAUGAAUUGACGGGGGCCCGCACAAGCGGUGGAGCAUGUGGUUUAAUUCGAUGCAACGCGAAGAACCUUACCUACUCUUGACAUCCAGAGAACUUUCCAGAGAUGGAUUGGUGCCUUCGGGAACUCUGAGACAGGUGCUGCAUGGCUGUCGUCAGCUCGUGUUGUGAAAUGUUGGGUUAAGUCCCGCAACGAGCGCAACCCUUAUCCUUUGUUGCCAGCGGUCCGGCCGGGAACUCAAAGGAGACUGCCAGUGAUAAACUGGAGGAAGGUGGGGAUGACGUCAAGUCAUCAUGGCCCUUACGAGUAGGGCUACACACGUGCUACAAUGGCGCAUACAAAGAGAAGCGAACUCGCGAGAGCAAGCGGGCCCCAUAAAGUGCGUCGUAGUCCGGAUUGGAGUCUGCAACUCGACUCCACGAAGUCGGAAUCGCUAGUAAUCGUAGAUCAGAAUGCUACGGUGAAUACGUUCCCGGGCCUUGUACACACCGCCCGUCACACCAUGGGAGUGGGUUGCAAAAGAAGUAGGUAGCUUAACCUUCGGGAGGGCGCUUACCACUUUGUGAUUCAUGACUGGGGUGAAGUCGUAAC